rnacentral:rRNA from 1 species
AGAGUUUGAUCCUGGCUCAGAUUGAACGCUGGCGGAAUGCUUUACACAUGCAAGUCGAACGGCAGCACGGACUUCGGUCUGGUGGCGAGUGGCGAACGGGUGAGUAAUAUAUCGGAACGUGCCCAGUCGUGGGGGAUAACGUAGUGAAAAUUACGCUAAUACCGCAUACGAUCUAAGGAUGAAAGCGGGGGAUCGCAAGACCUCGCGCGAUUGGAGCGGCCGAUAUCAGAUUAGGUAGUUGGUGAGGUAAAGGCUCACCAAGCCAACGAUCUGUAGCUGGUCUGAGAGGACGACCAGCCACACUGGAACUGAGACACGGUCCAGACUCCUACGGGAGGCAGCAGUGGGGAAUUUUGGACAAUGGACGCAAGUCUGAUCCAGCCAUUCCGCGUGCAGGACGAAGGCCUUCGGGUUGUAAACUGCUUUUGUACAGAACGAAAAGGUCUCUAUUAAUACUAGGGGCUCAUGACGGUACUGUAAGAAUAAGCACCGGCUAACUACGUGCCAGCAGCCGCGGUAAUACGUAGGGUGCAAGCGUUAAUCGGAAUUACUGGGCGUAAAGCGUGCGCAGGCGGUUAUAUAAGACAGAUGUGAAAUCCCCGGGCUCAACCUGGGAACUGCAUUUGUGACUGUAUAGCUGGAGUGCGGCAGAGGGGGAUGGAAUUCCGCGUGUAGCAGUGAAAUGCGUAGAUAUGCGGAGGAACACCGAUGGCGAAGGCAACCCCCUGGGCCUGCACUGACGCUCAUGCACGAAAGCGUGGGGAGCAAACAGGAUUAGAUACCCUGGUAGUCCACGCCCUAAACGAUGUCAACUG